GACAGAGGGUGCAAACGUUGUUCGGAAUUACUGGGCGUAAAGCGCGUGUAGGCGGCCCUGCAAGUCGGAUGUGAAAUCCCACGGCUCAACCGUGGAAGUGCAUUCGAAACUGCAGGGCUAGAGUCCUGGAGAGGAAGGUGGAAUGCUUGGUGUAGAGGUGAAAUUCGUAGAUAUCAAGCGGAACACCGGUGGCGAAGGCGGCCUUCUGGACAGUGACUGACGCUGAGACGCGAAAGCGUGGGGAGCAACAGGGAUUAAG
rnacentral:rRNA from 1 species